rnacentral:rRNA from 1 species
UGGGGAAUAUUGCACAAUGGGCGAAAGCCUGAUGCAGCAACGCCGCGUGAGUGAUGAAGGUCUUCGGAUUGUAAAGCUCUGUCUUUUGGGACGAUAAUGACGGUACCAAAGGAGGAAGCCACGGCUAACUACGUGCCAGCAGCCGCGGUAAUACGUAGGUGGCGAGCGUUGUCCGGAUUUACUGGGCGUAAAGGGUGCGUAGGCGGAUGUUUAAGUGAGAUGUGAAAUACCCGGGCUUAACUUGGGUGCUGCAUUUCAAACUGGAUAUCUAGAGUGCAGGAGAGGAGAAUGGAAUUCCUAGUGUAGCGGUGAAAUGCGUAGAGAUUAGGAAGAACACCAGUGGCGAAGGCGAUUCUCUGGACUGUAACUGACGCUGAGGCACGAAAGCGUGGGUAGCAAACAGGAUUAGAUACCCUGGUAGUCCACGCCGUAAACGAUGAGUACUAGGUGUAGGAGGUAUCGACCCCUUCUGUGCCGCAGUAAACACAUUAAGUACUCCGCCUGGGAAGUACGAUCGCAAGGUUAAAACUCUAAAGUGAAUUGAC